CUUAAAUUUUUCUGUUUGUACAGUGAUUUCAUCAAAUGAACUCUGUUUGCGCAGCCUAACAAUAUGUCUGGUUCUGAUUCUGAUGGGUUGGAUCAUGGUUGGAUGUCUGCUGAUUUUAGUUUUGAUUCAUCUUUGCAAUCUGGCAGCGUUUUACCUUCGUUUCAAGUUGACCACACCUGGCUUGCAGCUGCUUGUGGUCACUGUUCCGGCGGCAAGCAUGGUAGAACUCCUCUGUACGAUGUUUCCAAUCAGUCUCUCUCUCUAUCUCGGCAGGUAUAGCAAAUACUGUGAGCAUUGUGAAUGUAUGACAGCUUAUGAUUUCUCUUACUUAUAUGUCAUAUGUCUUUUAUUACAUCUUUAGAAAUCUCCUGGUCCUUCUAGAAAGUUCUGUUUAGAUUCCGGUCGUGUUUUCUCCGAUGAAAAUAAUCAUUUUUCAUGUCGUUCUACAACUAAAUCAGGUAAGAUAAAUGUCACUGUGUCAAUUAUAUUAACUCCUUUUUCCAGUUAUGUCUAAUUCCUGUCUAAUGAGUUGCAUAUAAGUUCAAAAAGGACGGCAUGAUUGUUCAGACAGAGGUUUCCCAACCUCCAUGUCUAGAAGAUUUGUGAGUGAAGCUGUGAUUGUUGAAGAAAUAAGUCUUGAUCAUGUAAUCUCAGACGAUAUUUCUGCUGUACAAGAUGCGGUGUUUCGUUAUAACUCCCACUACUCCUUUACAUUGAUAAUGUUUUUUCAUACAAUACUAUUUUGCCUUUAGGUACUCCUAAGAAGAGUAGUUUUAAAAGGAAAGGUCGUUUUCCUGCUGAUGAGGUGAAUGAGAAACUUGCUUUUGGUAACUCUCUCUGCUGCGUAGCCUGAAGCUUCAUCCGCCAUUACUUCUUAAUGACAAACGAGUGGUUUUUUCAAUAGGUCAGUUGUGAUGUGCAGAACAAUCUUCAUGAACUCUGGUCCCUCAUGAACUUUCUACUUCGGGAGAUUUUUAUUUCAACAGAAACUUUUGAUGAAUGGUUUGCAAUCUCUGGGGAAAAUGACUAGGAAGAGGUCCUCCGUCCAUCCCUUCUGAGAAGGUUGAAGUCAGAUGUUGAGAAGGGCUUGCCUCCAAGAAGGAGACAAUACUCAAGGCAUGAAUUUCACUUCUUUAAUACAGAGGCUUACUGAGCUGUAUGAAAAAGAAGUUCGCUUUCUUAUUGUUGGUAUAAGCUGGUUUUACAAAUUUUCCAUAUAGUUAACUACACAGAUAAUUGCUUUAUACAUUAUGUCCUAUUUUGUGUGGAGACAAAAGUUUGGAUGGUAAUUUUGUUUUGCUCGCCGUAGCAAGUUAAUCAGAAGAAUCAAUCAAAAGAUUCAGUUGAAGCGGAUGAGCCUGAAGAUAUAUGGGAGACCCUUUGACCACUGAGGAACAGGAAGAGAAGGAGCAGUUGCUGGAAGAGGUGAUACAGGAGUCUUUGUGUGGCUGUUAGUAUGUUUGUAAGUUACUUGAAAUUGCUCUGUGUAUACUACUGCAACCACCCGUGCAAGGCACAUGAGCUUUUUAAUUAUUUAUAAACUUUUUAAAUAUAUAUUAAAUGGUGUGAAAAAAUGUAAUUUAUAAAUUUGUAUCAUGCCAAAGUAUUAAAUUUUUUUUCUAUCAAA